CUUGUUGGUGGGGUGAUGGCCUACCAAGGCGACGACGGGUAGCCGGCCUGAGAGGGCGACCGGCCACACUGGGACUGAGACACGGCCCAGACUCCUACGGGAGGCAGCAGUGGGGAAUCUUGCGCAAUGGGCGAAAGCCUGACGCAGCGACGCCGCGUGAGGGAUGACGGCCUUCGGGUUGUAAACCUCUUUCAGCUCCGACGAAGCGGAAGUGACGGUAGGAGCAGAAGAAGCACCGGCCAACUACGUGCCAGCAGCCGCGGUAAUACGUAGGGUGCAAGCGUUGUCCGGAAUUAUUGGGCGUAAAGAGCUCGUAGGCGGUCUGUCGCGUCGGCUGUGAAAACUCGGGGCUCAACUCCGAGCUUGCAGUCGAUACGGGCAGGCUAGAGUUCGGCAGGGGAGACUGGAAUUCCUGGUGUAGCGGUGAAAUGCGCAGAUAUCAGGAGGAACACCGGUGGCGAAGGCGGGUCUCUGGGCCGAUACUGACGCUGAGGAGCGAAAGCGUGGGGAGCGAACAGGAUUAGAUACCCUGGUAGUCCACGCCGUAAACGUUGGGCGCUAGGUGUGGGAUCCCUUCCACGGGUUCCGUGCCGCAGCUAACGCAUUAAGCGCCCCGCCUGGGGAGUACGGCCGCAAGGCUAAAACUCAAAGGAAUUGACG
rnacentral:rRNA from 1 species